UACGGGGGGGGGCAAGCGUUGUUCGGAAUUACUGGGCGUAAAGGGCUCGUAGGCGGCCAACUAAGUCAGACGUGAAAUCCCUCGGCUUAACCGGGGAACUGCGUCUGAUACUGGAUGGCUUGAGUGUGGGAGAGGGAUGCGGAAUUCCAGGUGUAGCGGUGAAAUGCGUAGAUAUCUGGAGGAACACCGGUGGCGAAGGCGGCAUCCUGGACUACUACUGACGCUGAGUGAGCGAAAGCUAGGGGAGCAAACAGG
rnacentral:rRNA from 1 species